rnacentral:rRNA from 1 species
AGUGAACGCUGGCGGUAGGCCUAACACAUGCAAGUCGAACGGCAGCACAGGAGAGCUUGCUCUCUGGGUGGCGAGUGGCGGACGGGUGAGGAAUACAUCGGAAUCUACUCUGUCGUGGGGGAUAACGUAGGGAAACUUACGCUAAUACCGCAUACGACCUACGGGUGAAAGCAGGGGAUCUUCGGACCUUGCGCGGUUGAAUGAGCCGAUGUCGGAUCAGCUAGUUGGCGGGGUAAAGGCCCACCAAGGCGACGAUCCGUAGCUGGCCUGGGAGGAGGAUGAGACACACUGGAAGUGAGCCACAGUCCGGACUCCUACGGGAGGCGGCAGUGGGGAAUAUUGGACGAUGGGCGCAAGUCUGGUCCAGCCAUACCGCGUGGGUGAAGAAGGCCUUCGGGUUGUAAAGCCCUGUUGUUGGGAAAGAAAUCCAGCUGGCUAAUACCCGGUUGGGAUGACGGUACCCAAAGAAUAAGCACCGGCUAACUUCGUGCCAGCAGCCGCGGUAA